AACGAACGCUGGCGGCAGGCUUAACACAUGCAAGUCGAGCGCCCCGCAAGGGGAGCGGCAGACGGGUGAGUAACGCGUGGGAAUCUACCUUUUGCUACGGAAUAACUCAGGGAAACUUGUGCUAAUACCGUAUGUGCCCUUUUGGGGAAAGAUUUAUCGGCAAAGGAUGAGCCCGCGUUGGAUUAGGUAGUUGGUGGGGUAAUGGCCUACCAAGCCGACGAUCCAUAGCUGGUCUGAGAGGAUGAUCAGCCACAUUGGGACUGAGACACGGCCCAAACUCCUACGGGAGGCAGCAGUGGGGAAUAUUGGACAAUGGGCGCAAGCCUGAUCCAGCCAUGCCGCGUGAGUGAUGAAGGUCUUAGGAUUGUAAAAUUCUUUUACCAGGGACGAUAAUGACGGUACCUGGAGAAAAAGCCCCGGCUAACUUCGUGCCAGCAGCCGCAGUAA
rnacentral:rRNA from 1 species